CAAUCACAGCAGCCGGGAUUGAUCACAUGACAUUUAUAGGCAUCCGGAAAACGACUUUUGCCCCAGUUUGUUACUUAACCUAACCUCUGCGUUUUACUUCUGCACAUGUAUACUCAACAGUACCGCUGCUACUACCAAUACUACUGCAGAUACUAGUGCACUACAUGGCAGGCCAGAAGCUAUUUAAGGACAUCCCAAACUGACUGACUGGCCGGCCACAGUAUGUAGACUGCAGGGCUGCGUGUCUGACACUGGUGGGCAACACGGGCCCCCCACGGGGGACGGCCCUGUCACCCUUUCUGUUCACCCUCUACACCUCGGACUUCAGGUACAACUCCAACUCCUGCCACCUGCAGAAGUUCUCCGACGAGUCUGCAACUGUGUGCUGCAUCAGCAAGGGGAAGGAGGCUGAGUAUAGUGGACUCCGUUGUGUGAUGUGGGCUGAACCACCUGCAGCUUUACACUCAAAGGAGUUGGUGCGCAGGACUACAAGUACCUGGGAGAACACCUGGACAACAAGCUGGACUGGGUUAAGAGCAAUGGGGCUGCGUACAAGAAGGGCCAGAGCAGACUCUGCUUCAUGUGGAGGCUCCAGUCAUUCAUGUCUGCCAGUGCUAUUUUCUUUGCUGUCGUCUGCUGAGGCAACAGGGCGAGGGCAGUGGACACCAACAGAACCAACAAGUUCAUCAGGAAGUCCUUUCUCCCUGUGGCAAUCAAACGUUACAACUCAUCUACCUCAUGUGCAGAGAUGGACAGCAGAAGCAUGUGGUGCUGAGGUGGCUCCAGCCGCCAUUUCAGCUCUGUUUGUUAAAUCUCUAUUUCUCUCUGCGUUACCGUCUCUCCUUGGAUUACAAUCAUCACAACUUUCUGAUUUAUGUGACAUUACAUGCAAUAUCAUGGGACAUAAUCAUGAACAUUUUGAAUUAACCACAUACACUUGCCUGCACUUCAGAUCUGAUACUGUACAAACAUAGCUAUGCCACUUCUCACACAUCAACGGUCCUUACCGUUUAUAUUUUGGAUUUGCACCUUAUUGAUUUUAUAUUUGCACUCUCCCUACUUUGUAUUGCAACUGCUGCACAACAACCUCCCUCGGGAUAAAUAAAGUUCUUAUCUUGAACCUACUGACAGCUGACAUCCGUUCAAAUCCAAGGGGAAAAGGACAGUAACUACUGCUACUACGGCCCACUGCUGUAGAUGCGACUAUAACAUAAAACAUUAAAGUUAAAAAGUAGCUGAACCUAAACCAGCUAGACUUACAUUUGUACGUUACGCUUAGUGGUAGAGCGGGUCGUCCAUCAAUCGGAAGGUCGGCGGUUCGAUCCCGGCUUCCCCCAGCCCACAUGUCGAAGCGCCCAACGUGUGAUUGAGUUAUUUACUUUGAACUGAUGAGCAGUUGGCACCUGCCAUCAGUGUGAAUGUGAUAUGUAGUUGAAGCGCUUUGAGUAGUCGGAAAAAGAUUAAGGGACGCUAUAUCAGUCCAUUUACCACUAUAUUGUGUAUACUUCUGAGACGAAACUGCAAGAGCACUUUUGAUCAUUUGGCACAUGAUGUUGAUACUUUGUGUAUUUUGUUAAAUACCAAAAUGCACAACUUCUAGCUGUAAUAUAGGAGGCACUGCUUUAACUAAAGUCAAAGAUCUGAAUAUUUCUUACACCACUGGUAGUCUGACAGGAGCACUUGUCUUCAGAUCGACACGCUGCAGCCUUCUCUGAGCUCAGCCUCUGACCUUUUGUAUUAGGAGCCAUGUGUUUACUAAUGAAGUUGAGAAGAACUGUCAAUUGUUUUUUUGCUUUAUUCACCAUCAAUCAAAACAUGUAGUAAGGGUUUAAAUAUUACUCUGAGCCUCUGAAAGGAGGAGUCAUGUGUCCCCACACCUUGCAGAUUAAACCCAGAAUGGCAGCCCAGCCACUUGACAGUUUGAGUUUUAACCCCUGUGGCCAAGAUUAGAUCCCCAACAAUAAACAGAGUGUAAAGCAGUGACAGCAGACAGUUGUGGGACGUUCGGAUUUUAUUGACGUAUCAAACAGCUGUACAUCUAUUUGCCUUUCUUGGCCUUGAUCUUCCUCAGGUAGAACUCGAGCUCUUUGCCUUCCAGGAUGUAGCCGUCUGCCCUGCCGCACUGGCCAGGUCUGGAGGCGAUACAAG